UCGAGGAUAGCUCACCGGCGUCGGGACUGCAUUUUCAGCCAGAUCCGGCUGUCCGACGGCCCAUCUCAGAACGUGGUCAAUAUUACAGUCAAUCCUAGCAUUUUCAGACGUUCUGGACGCGUUCCAGGUGUCAGAAUUGACAUAGGUGAUCGAGGUCGGCUAUUUUUCUGCAUCCAGCAGCCACAAUAGUCAUCGGUGUACUGCCACAGGAGGAGUUAUUUUACAGAGCAACCUGUUUUCUUCCUCGCAGGUUUAACGUCAAUUAUUUAAUUGUUUUACUAUCUUUUCUAAAUUUUAAAAUCUAGAACUCCGCAUGUGUUAGUAAUAGUGUGGACCUUGUUAGAAAUUGUGUUAAUUUGAAUUUUUGAGAUUUAUAAAUGAAGAUUUGUAUGGUAUUUAAACAGUUUGUAAAAUGAGGUAACAGGGUUGAGCCGGGCUCCCCUAAAUUUAGUCUCUGAUGAUUUCUGGGCUAAGAUGGCCCGAAAUAAAAUUAUAACAGUUUAAUUUAAAUUAUUUUUAUAUGCAUAUUGGGCCUAAAUUGUGGGCUUGGUUAUGGGUUGAGGAAUAGUUAGGCUUACUACGGGCCUCGGGGGCUUUAGGCUGGCCCAGGUCCUAG